AUUGAACGCUGGCGGUAUGCUUAACACAUGCAAGUCGAACGGCAGCACAGUAUGUAGCAAUACAUAUGGGUGGCGAGUGGCGGACGGGUGAGUAACGCGUAGGAAGCUACCCUAAAGCGGGGGACAAGCCGAGGAAACUCGGGCUAAUACCGCAUAAUCUCGAACGAGUAAAGCUGGGGCAACCUGGCAGGUUAGGAGUAGCCUGCGUGCGAUUAGCUAGUUGGUGAGGUAAAGGCUCACCAAGGUGAUGAUCGGUAGCGGGUCUGAGAGGAUGAUCAGCCACACUGGGACUGAGACACGGCCCAGACUCCUACGGGAGGCAGCAGUGGGGAAUAUUGGACAAUGGGGGCAACCCUGAUCCAGCAAUGCCGCGUGUGUGAAGAAGGCCUUAGGGUUGUAAAGCACUUUAGUUGGGGAAGAAGGAUAGUUGUUUAAGAGAUGAUUAUUUUGACGGUACCCAAAGAAUAAGCACCGGCUAACUCUGUGCCAGCCGCCGCCGUAA
rnacentral:rRNA from 1 species